rnacentral:rRNA from 1 species
AUUGAACGCUGGCGGCAUGCCUUACACAUGCAAGUCGAACGGCAGCACGGGAGCUUGCUCCUGGUGGCGAGUGGCGAACGGGUGAGUAAUACAUCGGAACGUACCCUGAAGUGGGGGAUAACGUAGCGAAAGUUACGCUAAUACCGCAUAUUCUGUGAGCAGGAAAGAGGGGGAUCGCAAGACCUCUUGCUUUAGGAGCGGCCGAUGUCGGAUUAGCUAGUUGGUGAGGUAAAGGCUCACCAAGGCGACGAUCCGUAGCGGGUCUGAGAGGAUGAUCCGCCACACUGGGACUGAGACACGGCCCAGACUCCUACGGGAGGCAGCAGUGGGGAAUUUUGGACAAUGGGCGCAAGCCUGAUCCAGCCAUGCCGCGUGAGUGAAGAAGGCCUUCGGUUGU